GCGCCUGUAGCUCAGCUGGAUAGAGCAUCGGUUUCCUAAACCGGGGGUCGCAGGUUCAAGUCCUGCCAGGCGUACCA
rnacentral:tRNA from 1 species